GGUUGUGGCUCAGUGGCAGGGUGCUUGCCUAGCAUGUGUGAGGCCCUGGGUUCCAUUCUCAGCACCA
rnacentral:tRNA from 1 species